rnacentral:rRNA from 1 species
ACUAUCGUUAACUGAAUACAUAGGUUAACGAGGCGAACCGGGGGAACUGAAACAUCUAAGUACCCCGAGGAAAAGAAAUCAACCGAGAUUCCCCCAGUAGCGGCGAGCGAACGGGGAGCAGCCCAGAGUCUGAAUCAGCUUGUGUGUUAGUGGAACGGUCUGGAAAGUCCGACGGUACAGGGUGAUAGUCCCGUACACCAAAAUGCACAGGUUGUGAACUCGAAGAGUAGGGCGGGACACGUGGUAUCCUGUCUGAAUAUGGGGGGACCAUCCUCCAAGGCUAAAUACUCCUGACUGACCGAUAGUGAACCAGUACCGUGAGGGAAAGGCGAAAAGAACCCCGGCGAGGGGAGUGAAAAAGAACCUGAAACCGUGUACGUACAAGCAGUGGGAGCACCUUCGGGUGUGACUGCGUACCUUUUGUAUAAUGGGUCAGCGACUUAUAUUCUGUAGCAAGGUUAACCGUAUAGGGGAGCCGCAGGGAAACCGAGUCUUAACUGGGCGUUAAGUUGCAGGGUAUAGACCCGAAACCCGGUGAUCUAGCCAUGGGCAGGUUGAAGGUUGGGUAACACUAACUGGAGGACCGAACCGACUAAUGUUGAAAAAUUAGCGGAUGACUUGUGGCUGGGGGUGAAAGGCCAAUCAAACCGGGAGAUAGCUGGUUCUCCCCGAAAGCUAUUUAGGUAGCGCCUCGUGAAUUCAUCUUCGGGGGUAGAGCACUGUUUCGGCUAGGGGGUCAUCCCGACUUACCAACCCGAUGCAAACUACGAAUACCGAAGAAUGUUAUCACGGGAGACACACGGCGGGUGCUAACGUCCGUCGUGAAGAGGGAAACAACCCAGACCGCCAGCUAAGGUCCCAAAGUCAUGGUUAAGUGGGAAACGAUGUGGGAAGGCACAGACAGCCAGGAUGUUGGCUUAGAAGCAGCCAUCAUUUAAAGAAAGCGUAAUAGCUCACUGGUCGAGUCGGCCUGCGCGGAAGAUGUAACGGGGCUAAACCAUGCACCGAAGCUGCGGCAGCGACACUAUGUGUUGUUGGGUAGGGGAGCGUUCUGUAAGCCUGNUGCUGGAGGUAUCAGAAGUGCGAAUGCUGACAUAAGUAACGAUAAAGCGGGUGAAAAGCCCGCUCGCCGGAAGACCAAGGGUUCCUGUCCAACGUUAAUCGGGGCAGGGUGAGUCGACCCCUAAGGCGAGGCCGAAAGGCGUAGUCGAUGGGAAACAGGUUAAUAUUCCUGUACUUGGUGUUACUGCGAAGGGGGGACGGAGAAGGCUAUGUUAGCCGGGCGACGGUUGUCCCGGUUUAAGCAUGUAGGCUGGUUAUCCAGGCAAAUCCGGAUAAUCAAGGCUGAGGUGUGAUGACGAGGCACUACGGUGCUGAAGUAACAAAUGCCCUGCUUCCAGGAAAAGCCUCUAAGCAUCAGGUAACAUCAAAUCGUACCCCAAACCGACACAGGUGGUCAGGUAGAGAAUACCAAGGCGCUUGAGAGAACUCGGGUGAAGGAACUAGGCAAAAUGGUGCCGUAACUUCGGGAGAAGGCACGCUGGUGUGUAGGUGAAGUCCCUGCGGAUGGAGCUGAGACCAGUCGAAGAUACCAGCUGGCUGCAACUGUUUAUUAAAAACACAGCACUGUGCAAACACGAAAGUGGACGUAUACGGUGUGACGCCUGCCCGGUGCCGGAAGGUUAAUUGAUGGGGUUAUCCGUAAGGAGAAGCUCUUGAUCGAAGCCCCGGUAAACGGCGGCCGUAACUAUAACGGUCCUAAGGUAGCGAAAUUCCUUGUCGGGUAAGUUCCGACCUGCACGAAUGGCGUAAUGAUGGCCAGGCUGUCUCCACCCGAGACUCAGUGAAAUUGAACUCGCUGUGAAGAUGCAGUGUACCCGCGGCAAGACGGAAAGACCCCGUGAACCUUUACUAUAGCUUGACACUGAACAUUGAGCCUUGAUGUGUAGGAUAGGUGGGAGGCUUUGAAGCGUGGACGCCAGUCUGCGUGGAGCCAACCUUGAAAUACCACCCUUUAAUGUUUGAUGUUCUAACGUUGGCCCCUGACCGGGGUUGCGGACAGUGUCUGGUGGGUAGUUUGACUGGGGCGGUCUCCUCCCAAAGCGUAACGGAGGAGCACGAAGGUUAGCUAAUCCUGGUCGGACAUCAGGAGGUUAGUGCAAUGGCAUAAGCUAGCUUGACUGCGAGCGUGACGGCGCGAGCAGGUGCGAAAGCAGGUCAUAGUGAUCCGGUGGUUCUGAAUGGAAGGGCCAUCGCUCAACGGAUAAAAGGUACUCCGGGGAUAACAGGCUGAUACCGCCCAAGAGUUCAUAUCGACGGCGGUGUUUGGCACCUCGAUGUCGGCUCAUCACAUCCUGGGGCUGAAGUAGGUCCCAAGGGUAUGGCUGUUCGCCAUUUAAAGUGGUACGCGAGCUGGGUUUAGAACGUCGUGAGACAGUUCGGUCCCUAUCUGCCGUGGGCGCUGGAGAAUUGAGGGGGGCUGCUCCUAGUACGAGAGGACCGGAGUGGACGCAUCACUGGUGUUCGGGUUGUCAUGCCAAUGGCACUGCCCGGUAGCUAAAUGCGGAAGAGAUAAGUGCUGAAAGCAUCUAAGCACGAAACUUGCCCCGAGAUGAGUUCUCCCUGAGACUUUAAGUCUCCUGAAGGAACGUUGAAGACGACGACGUUGAUAGGCCGGGUGUGUAAGCGCAGCGAUGCGUUGAGCUAACCGGUACUAAUGAACCGUGAGGCUUAACC